CCUUGUACACACCGCCCGUCACACCGUGGGAGUUGGUUUCACCCGAAGGUGGUGCGCUAACCCGCAAGGGAGGCAGCCAACCACGGUGGGAUCAGCGACUGGGGUG
rnacentral:rRNA from 1 species